UAUGUGUGGUGAUCACUGUGUUUUGCCUGUGUGGAGUUUUCCCCGCUCUCCCCCACAGAGUGUUGAGCGGUUCUCUUACCCACACUGGCUCUCUCCUGCUCCGGCUCCUCCUGCACCUUCACACCUGUUCCCCAUCACACUCAUCAGGACACUGCACUUCAGCUCUGUGGAGAGAGGAGUCGGGUGCCAGAGUAUUCCUUCUUCUACAGUGUGCCUCCUCGAGCCUCCUGCACCUCCGCCCCCAUCUCUGCCACGCUGCCACGCUCUCACUCCGGACACUCACCUGCCUUCACCCCGAGCCUCACGCUUCACUCCUGCAUCUCUUGGAUCUCACACUAACCUCUGAUUCUGGAUCAGUCAUCCUCCACCUCACCUUUAAAGAAUAAAAUCACUUCCACUGCU